UAAGGAAUAUUGCUCAAUGGGAGAAAUCCUGAAGCAGCAACGCCGCGUGGAGGAUGAAGGGUCUAUGACUUGUAAACUCCUGUAAAGAAGGAAAAAAUUCCCAUUUGAUGGGAGAUGAUGGUACUUCUGGAGUAAGCCCCGGCUAACUACGUGCCAGCAGCCGCGGUAAUACGUAGGGGGCAAGCGUUGUCCGGAUUUACUGGGUGUAAAGGGUGCUCAGGCGGAUUUGUAAGUCAGAGGUGAAAUCUUACAGCUUAACUGUGAAACUGCCUUUGAUACUGCAAGCCUAGAGUAUGGAAGAGAGUGAUGGAAUAUCUGGUGUAGCAGUGAAAUGCGUAGAUAUCAGAUAGAACACCAAUGGCGAAGGCAGUCACUUGGUCCAUUACUGACGCUAAAGCACGAAAGCGUGGGGAUCAAACA
rnacentral:rRNA from 1 species